AAUGGCAGAGAGUAUGGGGUUGGCUUUACAAGGCAACGGCGCAAGUUCAAAACCCACCAU
rnacentral:tRNA from 13 species